rnacentral:lncRNA from 1 species
GUAUUUAUCCAAAUAAAUGGCUUUAUUCUUGAAAAUUUUUAAAUUUUAGUAAAAAUGAAAAAUCUUCCCCAAAUCUCUUCCCCAAUAUUAAUCAAAUUAUUGUAGCCUCAAUUUUCCAUUAUUCUCAGUUGCAAACACCUAAUUUCCACGCUGAUUAAUUGAUUUUUACAUUCAACGACGACAUGAUCAUAUUUUCAACUAUUCCCAAC